GACGAACGCUGGCGGCGUGCUUAACACAUGCAAGUCGAACGGAAAGGCCCUGCUUUUGUGGGGUGCUCGAGUGGCGAACGGGUGAGUAACACGUGAGUAACCUGCCCUUGACUUUGGGAUAACUUCAGGAAACUGGGGCUAAUACCGGAUAGGAGCUCCUGCUGCAUGGUGGGGGUUGGAAAGUUUCGGCGGUUGGGGAUGGACUCGCGGCUUAUCAGCUUGUUGGUGGGGUAGUGGCUUACCAAGGCUUUGACGGGUAGCCGGCCUGAGAGGGUGACCGGCCACAUUGGGACUGAGAGACGGCCCAGACUCCUACGGGAGGCAGAAGUGGGGAAUAUUGCACAAUGGGCGGAAGCCUGAUGCAGCGACGCCGCGUGCGUGAUGACGGCCUUCGGGUUGUAAACCGCUUUCGCCUGUGACGAAGCGUGAGUGACGGUAAUGGGUAAAGAAGCACCGGCUAACUACGUG
rnacentral:rRNA from 1 species